CUUGCUUGCCAUUUGUGCUCAUUCGCACAUGCUUGUGAAGAUCGCUCCCUACAAGCCGGCACUCCGGAGCUAGCCUACGCGACCUAUGUUCGCUCGUGCGGUAUUGAGAAGCCUGCGGGGUUGAGUGGGAUAGACACAUUCCAAGAGUAGGAAUGUUGGGCUACCACAUGCACUUAGGCGGCACAAGCUGGAUACCUUGGGUAGGUCCUGAGGAUCAAAAUGGCAACCUAAGAGGGGGGGUGAAUUAGGUUUCUAAAAUAAAAAUCCAAAUAAUCAAGCAAAUUAAAAGCCCAAUGCAAAUAAAAGAAAUGCAAACUCGAAAAGCACACGAUCAAUUUGUUUCGAGGUUCGGCACUUUGCCUACGUCUCCGCCAACUUCUCAACACUCGAGAAUGUUGGAUCUCCACUAGAUGAUGCUUUUGCAGGCAAGCACCAAGCCUUCACAUCAACUCCUUCUUCUUUCAAGCUUCAAGAUUUUGCUUUUCUCUCUUUUUACAAGAUUAAAUCUCACUACAAGUUUCACUCAAGUUUAGAGAGAGAAUUGAGAGCUAAGAGUAUUAAGAUCACUGAAGUUUUUAAGCUCAAAUGAACUAUCAAGUUGUUACUGAGAGAGGCCUCAAUAUCAUCUAUUUAUAGCCUCGGGCAGCCUCUGUCGGUUGCACUUUCGGGCGCCCUAAAACUAUUUCCGGGCGCCCAGAAGUUUGUGCACGUCAGCUGCCUGUCGGAUCACGUGCGCCGCUUUUCUUGACUUUGUAUGUUUGGGCCGUCAAAAGUUCUGGGCGCCCAGUUCUCGAGGGACAUCUUUUCUGACACGCACAGCUUUUCUUGACUUCGUAAGUUCUGGGCCGUCAAAAAUUGUGGGCGCACAAAACACGAGAAACCGCUUUUCUGACACGUGCCGCUUCCUCUGGAUUUGGGCCAUAAGAAAUUGUGGGCGCCCAGAUCUCGAGGGACAACUUUUCUAACAUGCGCCGUUUUUCUGGAUUCGAGCCAUCAAAAGUUGUGAGCGCCCAGAUCUCGUGCUGACUUCCUUGCAAGACAGCCCAGAUUACGUGCGCCGCUGCUUCCGUAAAAUCUGGGCGCCCAGAUUGCGCGCUGAUAUGCAACCUGUCAAGUCAAAUAGUCUUGAUGUUUCUGGAUCACCCGAACAGCAAACAGGGAGGAUCCAAAAGGUCUCAAAAGAUUCGGAUCCACUUUAGGGCGCCGAGAACAGGGUCCAGAAUUGCAACUUUACAGAACACAGAAUUUGAGCAAUUUUUGAAUAUUUAAAAGUCCUUUUCACCUAAUCAUAAAUUUAAAAAUUUGUUUAAGUGAUCUAUAAGGUGAUAAGAUGAAUAGUUUAAACUUAGCUCAAAGUUUCUCACUCUAAUCAUAAAGCAUAAUAUUAAUCAAAUUAAGAAUGGAGAGAGUGAGUUUGUCUAUUUGACAAAAGAAGCAAACACAGCUUCAAGUGGUGAAGCUUGGUGCUAGAAUAUUGCCCAUCUUGAAUCCUUUUUGAAGAUAGAGAGAUCUAAAACACAAGACUCAAGAUAAAAAGAUUAGUCCAAUAAUCGUGAUUAUUUGUUAUCAUCAAAAUCUAAUAGACGAUUAGGGCCACUAGGCCAACAAUCUCCCCCUUUUUGAUGAUGACAAAUAAUGUGAUAUAAUAUCCAAAUGAGUAGAGAGUAAAAGAGUAGAAUACUCCCCCUAAAUAUAUGCAUAUAUUUAACAAGCAUAAAACACAAUCAUAGGCAUAGCAUAUAUCACAAUAAAAGAAGUAAGCAAUCAUGUAGGCAAAUGUCAAAAUAUAAACGAGAUUCACAUAGCCUAACAUAAUAAAACAUAAGCAGCAUAAUAAACCAUAAGCAUAGCAUAGUAUAUCACAUAGCAAGUUCUCCCCCUUUGUCAUCACAAAAAAAACAUAAAAGGAGACUAGCAAAAAGUGGUAGAAACAUAAGCUAAUCAUCAUCAUCAUCAUCCUCUUCAUCGUCCUCAUGAUCCGUAGGCGGAACUGGUGGAGGCAUAGAGGAGGAUGAUGGUCGAUCAACGUGGGGUCCAUACGCGGCAUAGAAGGCACUAGAAGGUCCAAAGAUAGAGUCCAUGUAUGCCUUGAUGCCGGAAACAUCCGUCUGGAGAGCAUGCAUAUGGUCUUCCAUCCUAUCAAGUCGAUCAAAAACCUGGUUUUGAAAAUCCAUAGGUGGAGGAACAUAGGGCGGAGGCACAGCAGGGGGUGGCUCAAAUGGUGGAGGAGAUGCUCGUGGCGGCGGCUCAACCGGUGGAGAAGGUGCUCGAGGGGGCGGCUCAUAAGGCAUAGGAUCAUCCUCGGCGUCGUCAAUGUCAUCACCAUGCUCGCUAGGCGAAUCAAUCACAUGUUUCCUUACCCAAAUGCCAUGACGAUUUUUCUUGAAGCCGAGAGUGGAGAAAGUGGCUGUAGAAAUGGCAGUGGGGUACUUCAUCGGCCUUACGUCAGAAAGAUCAAAUGACAUGAACUCGAGAACAGCGGUGAGCAAAGAGCCAUAUGGAAGUGAGCGCGAGGGAUGAGAAAUGGCGACGGCCAUGUGGCGAAUGAUGAUAUACCCCAAAUUUACCCGGAUCCCCGCAAAUAGAUGAUGAAGUAGAAAAAGAUCCAUUUUUUGAACAGCGGUGUGGUGACCGUCGCGAGGAAGAACUACUUUAGUUAGUAAAAAGUGGGCGAGGCGGUGAGGAAAGGAAAGAUGAGAGCAAUCUUCUCGUGAAGUAGAUUCUUCACAAAGAAAAUGAUUGCGGAGUUGCGCCUCAGAAAAUGCAGGAAAGUUCCAAGUGUUGGUUUGAUAAUAGCAAACCCCGUCAUUAGGAAUGUUCAAAACAGUGUGAAGAAGGAUAGGAGUGAUGGCAAAAACACGUCCCCGGAAGUGGGAAGUAAUAGUAGUAUAUACGGAAUUAAAAGUGGCAUUUGCAUAAAAAGUCCUAAUUAAGUCCAGAUAAAAAGGUCGUGAAUUUUGAAUAAAGAAAUUCCACCCAACUUGUGUGAGCUUAUCCAAAAGUUCAUAACAAUCAAAAUUGAGAUGAUGAAUAUUACGGCAAGGUUGAACGGGACGACCUAAAAGAUAUUUAUCUUGAGCCUCUUUAGAUACAAAGUUAAAAGCAUCAAAAUCUUCAUUUUGAUCAUAUCUAUGUGAGGGAGAUUCUUUUCUAGAUGCAUUUUUAGUUCUAGGCAUUUUUUUUUAAUUUUUUUUUUUAAUAAUCUGAAAGCUAGGGUUAAAAAAAAAAAAAUCAAAAUACAAGAUCUAGGAUGCAAUGGGAAAGAUCAUGGUAGAAGAAAAGAUUAUGUUGCAUAAAAUACAAGAAAUCAGUAAAAAAAUAUUUGGGGUGAACAGCAAAAAAAAAAAGAAAAGAAAAAGAAACUAGGGUUUUAUGCAAAAUAAAAAAAUGAGCAAGAUGGAAGAUCAGUGACAAGGUGCUAGAUCUAAGAGAAAUAAGGUAGAUGACAAAGAUUAAGGUGCACAAAUGACAAGAAAUUUGUAAAAAAAAUAUUAAGAGAGGAAAAGCAUGGAUUUUAUGAACAGCAGGAAAAAAAUAAUAAAAAAAAUACCACAAAUGGAAGAGGAAUGAGAGGAAAUCUCAGCUUUGGAGGAGUUUUGGGCGGAUUUGAAGUGGGCUGGGCGCAAGAUCUGGGCGACCGGACGGAGAGGAGGAAGAAGAAGUGAAGAAAAAUGGAAAGUGGGGCUUGUCGGGCUGCUGGGGACGACAAGGGGGCCCGUUAGCGGGUUUCAGGCGCUCGUGCGGGUCGGCGUGGUCGCCCGGAUCCACAACCCGGAACUCGCCAGGGCGGUCAAAGCGGCGCGGCGGUCAAAGAGGGUUUCGGGCGCGAGUGCGGCUCGGAUCGAUUGCCCAGAUCCGCAACCCGGUUACCCGCCAGGGUGGUCAAAGAGGCGCGGCGGUCAAAGCGGGUUUUCGGGCGCGGGUGCGAACCGAGUGGUCGCCCGGAUCCGAAGCCCGUUAACCCGUUAGGUCGGUCAGACGAGGCACCGCGGUCAACGCAUGUUUCGGGCGCCCUGAAAUUUUCGGGCGACCGGAAAUUUUCGUCCAGAGUUUCCACAAGGCAAAAGGUUUUUUUAAAAAAAUAAAAAUAAAAUAAAAUAAAAUAAAAUGCAAAGCAAAAAUAAAGACAAAAUAACAAUCAAUCAAAAAGAAAAAAAAAAUCAAGCAGAUAAAUCAAUCAUUCCCAAUUCUCUUCUAAGUUGAGUGAACCUAUCCUCACUAAGUGGUUUAGUAAAAAUGUCCGCUAAUUGAUUAUGAGUGUCCACAAAUUUUAUAGUGACAUCUUCUUUUAGAAUAUGAUCUCUAAUAAAAUGAUGUCUAAUUUCAAUUUGUUUAGUUCUAGAAUGUUGAAUAGGAUUUUUAGAUAUGUUGAUGGCACUAGUAUUAUCACAUUUGAUUGGAACUUGUUUUUGAUGUACUCCAAAGUCCUCAAGGGUUUGUUUCAUCCAUAAAACUUGUGCACAACCCGCCGCGAUAUACUCGGCUUCGGCGGUUGAAAGUGCAACCGAAUUUUGCUCUUUCGAAGACCAUGAGACUAAGGAGUGACCAAGAAGUUGACAAGUUCCACUCGUACUUUUUCGAUCAACUUUGCAUCCGGCAAAGUCGGCAUCCGAAAAGCCAAUGAGAUUAAAAUUAGUGCCCUUGGGAUACCAUAAACCUAAGUUGAGAGUCCCUUUAACAUAUCUAAGAAUUCUCUUUACAGCCACUAAGUGUGACUCCUUAGGUUGAGCUUGAAACCGAGCACACAAGCAAACACUAAACAUAAUGUCCGGCCGACUCGCGGUAAGAUAAAGUAAACUGCCAAUCAUACCUCGGUAGAGUUUGAUAUCAACAUCCUUGCCUUUUUCAUCCUUGUCAAGUUUAGUUGAGGCACUCAUUGGAGUGUUUGUCUCUUUUGAGCUUUCCAAGCCAAAUCUUUUGAUUAGAUCUUUUGCAUAUUUGGCUUGAUUAAUGAAUAUUCCAUCUUUCAUUUGUUUAACUUGGAGUCCAAGGAAGAAUGAGAGCUCGCCCAUCAUGCUCAUUUCAAACUCAUUUUGCAUUAGCUUAGAGAAUUCUUUACAGAGAGAUUCAUUAGUAGCACCAAAUAUAAUAUCAUCCACAUAAAUUUGUACAAUGAGAAAAUCUUUAUCCUUAAUUUUGAUAAAUAAUGUGGUGUCAACUUUUCCUCUUGAAAAAUUAUUUGAAGUAAGAAAAGUGCUAAGUCUUUCAUACCAGGCUCUAGGAGCUUGUUUUAAACCGUAAAGUGCCUUUGAAAGCUUAAAAACGUGAUCCGGAAAGUUAUGUUUUUCAAAACCGGGUGGUUGCUCAACAUAAACUUCUUCGGAAAUAUAUCCAUUUAAGAAAGCACUUUUUACAUCCAUUUGAAAUAAUUUGAAAUUCAUAUAAGAGGCAAAUGCUAGAAGAAUUCGAAUAGCUUCAAGUCUAGCAACCGGUGCAAAUGUUUCAUCAAAAUCAAUUCCUUCAAUUUGGUUGAAACCUUGGGCCACUAGUCUAGCCUUGUUUCGAACCACAACACCUGAUUCAUCUCGCUUGUUUCGGAAGACCCAUUUAGUGCCAAUAACGGUAUGAUCACUUGGCCUUUCCACAAGCGUCCAAACUUGGUUCCUCUCAAAUUGGUUAAGUUCUUCUUGCAUCGCAAUGAGCCAAUUUUCAUCAUUGCUAGCUUCAACAAAAUUUUUAGGUUCAAUUUGAGAUAUGAAAGCCAAGUGGUCACAAAGUAAUCUAAGAGAGGAUCUUGUUUUGACUUUUUGACUUGGAUCUCCAAUGAUGGAGUCCUUGGGAUGAUAAGUGGCGAAUUUCCACACUUUAGGUAAGGGAGUGGGUUCAAUCUCUUUAGAGAUUAACUCCUCACUUUUCUUAGAUGGUUCAACUUCUUGGGGUGUGGAGUUUAUAUUUAGCUUCUCAAAGUCAAGAAGAUCAUCUUCAUAAGAAAGAUCCUUUCCCUUAUAUUCUUCAAAAAGAAUAUGCAUACUUUCCUCUAUUAUUAAAGUUCGUCGAUUAUACACUCGAUAAGCUUUACUAGUAGAGGAAUAACCCAAGAAUAUAGCUUCAUCGGAUUUAGCAUCAAACUUUCCCAACUUGUCUUUUGUGUUUAAAAUGAAACAUUUACAACCAAAAAUUUUGAAGUAACCAAUAUUGGGAGUUCUAUUAUGCCAUAAUUCGAAAGGAGUUUUCUCAAGGAUUGGUCGAAUUAGAACACGAUUCAUAAUAUAGCAAGCCGUGUUUACGGCUUCGGCCCAAAAAUAUUUAGGCAACUCCCCCUCAAUUAACAUAGAUCUAGCCAUUUCUUGGAGAGAUCUAUUUUUGCGUUCAACGACCCCAUUUUGUUGAGGUGUUCGAGGGGUAGCAAAUUGAUGUUCUAUUCCCAAUUCAUUGCAAAACUCUUCAAAGUUAUGAUUUUCGAAUUCACCUCCAUGAUCACUUCUAAUUUUGGAAAUUAUACAAUUCUUUUCAUUUUGAACACGAUAGACAAAGUCCUUGAAGGAUUUAAAAGUAUCAUACUUGUGUCUUAAAAAUAAAGUCCAAGUAAAUCUUGAGUAAUCAUCAACAAUUACGAAAACAUAGUUGCUUCCACCAAGGCUAGAGACAUCAAUUGGUCCAAAGAGAUCCAUAUGAAUUAACUCUAAAGGCCUAGUUGUUGAGACAACAUUUUUGGGUUUAAAAGAUGAUUUUACUUGCUUAGCUUGAGCACAAGCAUUACAAACCUCACCUUUGGCAUAGUCUAUUUUAGGUAAUCCUUUCACAAGUUUUCUUUUGGAAAGUUUAGAAAGAGAGUCCAUAUUAGCAUGUGCUAACCUUCUAUGCCAAAGCCAAGAUUCGUUAGUUUGAACUGAAAAACAUUUUUCACCUUCAUGUGAGAGUUUGCCUAAAUCAACGGUAUAAACAUUCUUGGAUCUAAAACCCAUAAAAGCUACCUCAUUUGUAGAAGGAUCAAGAAUGCUACAAUGAGAUGCUUCAAAUUUUACAAAAUAGCCUUUAUCACAUAAUUGACUAAUACUUAGUAAAUUAUGUUUAAGGCCAUCAACUAAAAGAACAUUGGAAAUGUUAACCUUUUCAUCACCGAUUGUGCCGAUUCCAAUGAUCUUUCCUCUAGUGUUGUCUCCAAAGGUGACAAAUCCUCCAUCUUUCAUUUCAAUUGAUUUAAACUUGGUUUGAUCCCAAGUCAUGUGUCUUGAGCAUCCGCUAUCUAAGUACCAUUUGUCACUUGCACCUUUUGAUUGGAGACACACCUACAAAAACAAAUCAAGUUUUUAACUUUGGUACCCAAGUGAGAUUGGGUCCUUUUGUGUUAGAUAAACCUUUCACAACCCAAAUUUGGUUAAGUUUAGGAUUCUUCUUAUAUUUACAAGAGGAAAUAUGAUGUCCUUUAAUAUUACAAUAGGAACAAUGCAAAGUUGGGUUUUGAGUUGUACUUUUAACAAAAACCUUUCUCUUAGCUUUUGUCAAUUUAACAUUGUUUGGAUUAGGAGCAUAACCUAUCCCAAACUUUUUGAAGUUUACAACUUGAUUUCCAAGCAUCAUAUUUAGAUACUUGGUUCCUCCAACGAAUUUCUCAAGAGUUCUCUUAGUUUCACCUAAGCUAACUUUGAGUUGUUGGUUUUCAACUUGAAGUUUUUCAAAUUGUUUGUCAUAAUGAAGAAUUGGCUUAAAAUUUAGAUCUUCAAUUUUCUUCUUUAAUGCUUCAUUUUCACGAAUGAGACUACAACAUGUCUCAUUAGCUUGUUUAAGCUCUUUCGUGAGUAAAGAGUCCUCAUUUUCAAGUAUUAAAGAAGGAUUUGAAGUUGAAAAUUUUAAGUUGUUAACCUCCAUCUCUAAUAAGGCAUUUUGCUUUUUGAGAGAUGUAUACUUGGGACCCAAACUUUGUAGAUUAUCAUAUAAAGAAAAGAAAGCUUCUAAAAGUUCUUCAUAACUUAAAUUGUUUACCUCAUCUUCAAGAGCCAUAAGACAUAGGAUUGAGCUUUGCUCCUCGAGGCAAAUUUGGGCAACUUCGUUUUCCGAUUCAUCAUCGCUAGAUUCGUCGGGGGCGUCCCAAUUUAGUGCAUUGAAGGCUUUCUUUUUCUUGUCUUUCUUAAAGGUUUUGUUUGGAAGAGUGCAUUCACUUUUCAAAUGUCCCGGUUUAUUACAAUUGUAGCAAAUGAUACCUUUCUUGAAUCCUUCACCUUUGAACCCGUCUCGUUUAGGUCUCCUCAAGUUGCGCUUCUUGAUUAGUCGAUCGAGCCUUUUUGAAAUCAUAGCGAUUUCUUCGCUCGAACCUUCUUCGCCAUCUUCACUCUCGGAAGCAAUGACUCCCUUAAGUGCAAGGCUUUUCUUUUUCUCAGGAGCCUCUUCGUUGUCAUAUUCUUUGAGGCGUUGUUCAUGCGCCAUGAGUGAUCCAACAAGUUCAUCAAUUUUUACUUUGUCCAAGUCAUGAGCUUCUUGGAUAGCCGUAACCUUAGGUAUCCAACUUCUUGGUAGUACACGAAGAAGUUUUCGUACCAAGUCCGAUUGAGGAAAAUCCUUACCUAAGGCUUUCAAGCUAUUUAUAAUGUUAGUAAAUCUUGUGAACAUAUUCGAAAUGGAUUCACUUUCCUCCAUUUUGAAUAGUUCAUAAUUUGACAUAAGCAUGCUUAUUUUAGAUUCCUUCACCCUAGAAGUACCUUCAUGAGUAACUUCUAAUUUAUCCCAAAUCUCUUUAGCCGUUGUACAUGUAGAGAUUCGGUGAAACUCUUCUCUACUGAGAGCGCAAAGGAAUGAAUUGAUAGCUUUAGCAUUCAAUUGAAAGCGAAAUUUUUCGGCUUCAUUCCAUUCCGCUCUUGAUUUUGAUGGAGCGAUAUAACCACUUUCGAUUAUAUCCCAAAUAUCAAAAUCUAGAGAUUGAAAGAAUAUCUUCAUUCUAAUCUUCCAAAAAGGAUAAUCGGUCCCAUCAAAAAAUGGUGGCCGAACAAUAGAUUGUCCUUCGAUAUUCUUUCCCGUGGAUGCCAUUCUCACUUAGAUUUUAAUCUAAAUAAUGUGAGACCUCGCUCUGAUACCAAUUGAGGAUCAAAAUGGCAACCUAAGAGGGGGGGUGAAUUAGGUUUCUAAAAUAAAAAUCCAAAUAAUCAAGCAAAUUAAAAAACCGAUGCAAAUAAAAGAAAUGCAAACUCGAAAAGCACACGAUCAAUUUGUUUCGAGGUUCGGCACUUUGCCUACGUCCCCGCCAACUUCUCAACACUCGAGAAUGUUGGAUCUCCACUAGAUGAUGCUUUUGCGGGCAAGCACCAAGCCUUCACAUCAACUCCUUCUUCUUUCAAGCUUCAAGAAUUUGCUUCUCUCUCUUUUUACAAGAUUAAAUCUCACUACAAGUUUCACUCAAGUUUAGAGAGAGAAUUGAGAGCUAAGAGUAUUAAGAUCACUGAAGUUUUUAAGCUCAAAUGAACUAUCAAGUUGUUGCUGAGAGAGGCCUCAAUAUCAUCUAUUUAUAGCCUCGGGCAGCCUCUGUCGGUUGCACUUUCGGGCGCCCUAAAACUAUUUCCGGGCGCCCAGAAGUUUGUGCACGUCAGCUGCCUGUCGGACCACGUGCGCCGCUUUUUUUGACUUUGUAUGUUUGGGCCGUCAAAAGUUGUGGGCGCCCAGUUCUCGAAGGACAGCUUUUCUAACACGCGCAGCUUUUCUUGACUUCAUAAGUUCUGGGCCGUCAAAAGUUGUGGGCGUACAAAACACGAGAAACCGCUUUUCUGACACGCGCCGCUUCCUCUGGAUUUGGGCCAUAAGAAAUUGUGGGCGCCCAGAUCUCGAGGGACAACUUUUCUGACAUGCGCCGUUUUUCUGGAUUCGAGCCAUCAAAAGUUGUGGGCGCCCAGAUCUCGUGCUGACUUUCUUGCCAGACAGCCCAGAUUGCGUGCGCCGCUGCUUCCGUAAAAUCUGGGCGCCUAGAUUGCGCGCUGAUAUGCAACCUGUCAAGUCAAAUAGUCUUGGUGUUUUUGGAUCACCCGAACAGCAAACAUGGAGGAUCCAAAAGGUCUCAAAAGAUUCGGAUCCACUUUAGGGCGCCCAGAACAGGGUCCAGAAAUUGCAACUUUACAGAACACAGAAUUUGAGCAAUUUUUGAAUAUUUAAAAGUCCUUUUCACCUAAUCAUAAAUUUAGAAAUUUGUUUAAGUGAUCUAUAAGGUGAUAAGAUGAAUAGUUUAAACUUAGCUCAAAGUUUCUGACUCUAAUCAUAAAGCAUAAUAUUAAUCAAAUUAAGAAUGGAGAGAGUGAGUUUGUCUAUUUGACAAAAGAAGCAAACACAGCUUUAAGUGGUGAAGCUUGGUGCUAGAAUAUUGCCCAUCUUGAAUCCUUUUUGAAGAUAGAGAGAUCUAAAAUACAAGACUCAAGAUAAAAAGAUUAGUCCAAUAAUCGUGAUUAUUUGUUAUCAUCAAAAUCUAAUAGACGAUUAGG
rnacentral:lncRNA from 1 species